rnacentral:rRNA from 1 species
AUGGCGCAUUUGUGGAGUGUCGCAGCGGCCGAGCUCACCGGCAGCCACCUCGACGAGGUCAAGCGCAUGGUGGCGCGAUUCCGUGAGCCUGUCGUCAGGAUCCUGGGGGCCGGCCUCAGCGUCGGCCAGGUGGCUGCCGUUGCACACGCCAAGGACGUGGCCAGCGUCACCGUGGAGCUCGCCGACGAGGCGCGCGUCCGCGUCCAGGUCUGCAGCGACUGGAUCGUCGACUCGGUGGCAAACGGCGGUGACAUCUACGGCGUCACCACGGACUUCGGUGGCAUGUCCCACCGUCGCACAAAAGAUGGGCAUGGCCUCCAGCUCGAGCUUGUCAGAUGCAAAAUUGUAUACUCACCUGACAAGCUCGACCUGGAGGCCGUCAUCUUUUGUGCGACGGUGGGAGGUGCCACCGAAGCCCGUGGUGACGCCGUAGAUGUCACCGCCGUUUGCCACCGAGUCGACGAUCCAGUCGCUGCAGGGCUGGAUGCGGACGCGCGCCUCGUCGGCGAGCUCGACGGUGACGCUAGCCACCUCCUUGGCGUGUGCAACGGCAGCCACCUGGCCGACGCUGAGGCCGGCCCCCAGGAUCCUGACGACAGGCUCACGGAGUCACGCCACCAUGCGCUUGACCUCGUCGAGGUGGCUGCCGGUGAGCUCAGCCGCCGCGACACUCCAGAAAUGCGCCAUUUCUUGUUGCUAGUGGAUGAGGGUGAUGGCUCGGUUGAGGGUAGUGGAUGA